UACGUAGGGUGCAAGCGUUGUCCGGAAUUAUUGGGCGUAAAGAGCUCGUAGGCGGUUUGUCGCGUCGAAUGUGAAAACCCGGGGCUCAACCCCGGGCCUGCAUUCGAUACGGGCAGACUAGAGUUCGGUAGGGGAGUCUGGAAUUCCUGGUGUAGCGGUGAAAUGCGCAGAUAUCAGGAGGAACACCGGUGGCGAAGGCGGGACUCUGGGCCGAUACUGACGCUGAGGAGCGAAAGUGUGGGGAGCGAACAGG
rnacentral:rRNA from 1 species